UUCACGGUAAAGCACUGUAAAGCUAUCGUGGUGAAUCAACAAACUAUAAAAGGCAUGGCUUCUGGCUCAGCUUGCUAUUCAAUACUCUGAUUCUCACUCGAAUGUCAUAAUAAAGAAGCUCCCGUUGAGUAAGCAAAAUGCAAUCGAUAUUUCACUUCGUAAUGCUUUUAUUGGCAAUGAUUGCUCUGUUGAGCGGUUUUGCGUUAGCCCAAGGAGGUGGCAACCCAGGAGCUCCCGGCGCACCACCCGGUGGACCAGGCGCACCAGGCAAUCCUGGAGGUCGAAGAUUUCAAUGAAAAUGUAUAUCUACCUAUUUUAAGUUAAAGUACAUACAUAUAAUAUAUAAACAUAAAAUAAUCUAUAUACAAACUAUAUAUAAAUUAUUAUUAAAUUAUAUCCCA